AUGUCUCAGUUACAUGACAAAAAAAUUCGAAUCUCUUAUUCCUUCCCGUGUGGUGGCAGUUUGGUAAUAAUACAAAUUAUUAACAUAUGAAAAGUGUCAUCGUCAUCGGAAUGAAUGUAGACGCAGGAGUUGGCUGGCUCAACGUUGAACACUGUUCCAUGCUGUUAAAGCCUCCGCUCUCACUCAACUUCAGAUUUUCCCCACAAACGAGCAUUUUCCGGGCACGAAACUCGAGGAAUUCGCGCAUGGCGCCUCCAAUCCUCUCGCUCGCUCUUCCCUCGAACACCGGUCGAGUUCUCAGCAUUCAAUCUCACACCGUUCAGGGGUAUGUUGGUAAUAAAUCCGCUGUCUUCCCUCUGCAACUACUGGGAUAUGAUGUCGAUCCAAUUAAUUCCGUGCAGUUUUCGAAUCAUACAGGAUAUCCGACGUUUAAGGGUCAGGUUUUGAAUGGACAGCAACUCUGGGAUCUAAUCGAAGGCCUUGAAGGAAAUGAUUUAUUGUUCUAUACUCACUUGCUAACAGGUUAUAUUGGUUCAGAGUCUUUUCUAAACACUGUAUUGCAAGUUGUCAGCAAACUUCGGUCAACAAACCCAGGUCUUUCGUAUGUAUGUGAUCCAGUGAUGGGUGAUGAAGGAAAGCUUUAUGUUCCUCAAGAGCUAGUAUCAGUCUAUCGUGAGAAGGUUGUUCCAGUAGCUUCAAUGUUGACUCCCAACCAGUUUGAAGCAGAACUACUGACAGGCUUUAGGAUUCAGUCUGAAGGACAUGGCCAGGAGGCCUGUAGGCUUCUCCAUGCAGCUGGGCCUUCAAAGGUCAUAAUUACAAGUAUAAAUAUAGACGGGAUUCUUCUCCUCAUUGGCAGUCAUCAAAAAGAAAAGGGAGAGCCUCCCAGACAAUUUAAGAUUGUUAUUCCAAAAAUACCAGCUUAUUUUACGGGAACGGGAGAUCUCAUGACUGCACUUCUUCUUGGUUGGAGCAAUAAAUACCCAGACAACCUUGAGAUUGCUGCGGAACUUGCAGUGUCAAGCUUGCAGGCAGUUUUGCACAGGACACUCAGUGACUACAAAAGUGCUGGACAUGAUCCUGAGUCAACCAGUUUAGAGAUUAGAUUAAUUCAAAGUCAGGAUGAUAUUUGCACCCCACAGGAGAUGGUUGAUGACCAUAUUUGCUAGUUGAUGACUCUCCAGGGAAGUUACGUGCCCAUUCUUGGUUCUCUAAGCCAGCAUAAAUAGUUUCACUAUUCUCUAAGCCAGCAUUAAAACCCCAUUGGGGUCCCCAGUGAUUUUCGCCAAAGGUGGGAAUCAUAUACUGAUUUUCAUAGUCACUGUGAUCAUUUAUUAAUUGAGCUUGGUUAUUGUUCUGAUCACCGUUGUAUCCUGCAUCCCAUAUCUCUGCAUGCUUGCCAAAUUUGGCCAACUUCUGGACCAAAGUGGAUGGGUUGACAAUGCCUGUGACAAUUGCCGUUUGCUCUUCUGCAUUAAUGUCUACUUUACAGACACCUGGAGAUAAACAAUGGAAAUUGGUUAACUUACAUCUUCAACCUGCACAUGUGCAAUUAGAAACUAAACAGGGAAAUAGAAUUCAAAAGGUCGUAUUGUGAAUAUUUACAACAUAUAAUAUAUGACAUGAGAAGUUUAUACAUAAUUGAUUCAAUAGUUCUUAGAGGUGAGUAUAGAACUUUGACCUAGAGAAGAAGAAAAUUCGACCUUACCUUCAAUUUUUUGGAGUACUUUCCUUACUUUGUUCAUGCAUCCUUGACAGUUCAUGUGUGCUUUAAGAACAAACGUCUGUGCAAGCGAAAUACGAACAUAUAUCUCAGAUUAAAUGUAAAAUAAUUGGUGGGAAAUGAAACAAAAUGUUUACAAGGCCGAGUGACAA